rnacentral:lncRNA from 1 species
GUCUAUCUUUUAUCAUAUAAAGCUUUCAAUCUACUUUUAUUUGCAUCUUUUACUUUUCCAUUCUAUAUCAUAAAAAUACCAAAAAUAUUAUCUUAUCAUAUUAUCUCUAUCAGAUCUCACUUUUGCAAGUGGCCGUGAAGGGAUUGACAACCCCUUUAUUUCGUUGGUUGCGAGUUCUUGUUUGUUUGUGUAGGUGCGUGGGACUUUAGAGGAGCCUCCUACUGGAUUGAUACCUUGGUUCUCAAAAACUGAGGGAAAUACUUACGCUACUGUGCUGCAUCACCCUUUCCUCUUCAAGGAAAACCAACGCAAGCUGAAGACGUAGCAAGAAGGAUUUCUGGCGCCGUUGCCGGGGAGGUCUUUGCUCAAGUCAAGACAUACCAAGUACCCAUCACAAACUCAUCUCCCUCGCAUUACAUUAUUUGUCAUUUUCCUCUCGUUUUCCUCUCCCCCACUUCACCCUUGCCGUUUUAUUCGCCCUCUCUUUCCCAAUCUCCUCUCUCUUUCGCUUUUCUUUUGUGUGCUUGUCGCUAUAGCUAGUCCUCCUAUUAUCGUUAAGACUCCCAAUCAUGAGGUUCUCAAUUUUAAACAAAGGGAGGGAGAAAAUUUAAAGGAUGCUUGGCAUAGAAUUUGCAAUGCUCAAAAUAGAUCUACUAGGAAGCAAUCUACUUCCGUCCUUCUUCGCAAUUUUUAUGUAGGCAUUACUCCUUGGAAUAGAUGUAUUCUUGAUGCCAUUACCGGAGGGAAUUUCUUGGGUAGCCACACUUUUGAAGCCUAUAAUGCUAUGUUACAUUUGUUUGGUCCACCACCUCUCUUGGUUAAUGGAACUAUCUUAACUUUAGAACAUGUGAUGCAAAGGCUUGAAAUUAUUGAAGAUAAAGUUGCUACUGUUGAGUUAAUUGAAAAUUUGGAUAAAAAGAUCCACAAUCAAAUCAUCCAAUUUGGAUCUAAAGUUGGAGCUACUCUGAAAAGUUUUAAGGAUAAAGAACCUAUAGUUAACGAAAGAAUAGAUCAAAAAAUUUCAAGAAGCGGUAAACUUGAGGAUAUCAUUACCAACUUAGGGGCUGCCUUUUCAUCCGUGAAAAAUACUUCCACUCCGCCUACUAAAAUUUCCAAAUUAAUGUAUGUUCCUAAAAAUAAGGGUGAAUCUUCUAGUAAGGAAAAUGCGGAUCUCAAAUCAAUAAGUGUUCACCCCAGUUGUUUCUCUAUCAUAAAGGAACCUUUUGCCACAAAUGAAUUUCUUGAUUUAUUGCCUAGGAGUUUAGUCAUUGCUAAAAAGAAAGAUACUCCUAAAGAUUAUAAGUGCUCUAUUAAAGAAUUGAGUGCCAAAGAUGGCACUACUUAGAUCUAUCCUCGCUUUUAUGACUAGCUUGGGGCGUUAAACAAUAGCGCUAGUUGGGAGGCAACCCAAUUUUUUGUUUUUGUUUUUGCUUCUGUUUAGUAAUAAAUAUUUCAUCUUCCUUCUGUUUAGAUGUGUUUUUAUGUUUUAAUUAGUGUUUGUGCCAAGUUAAACCUAUAGGAUCUUCUUGGAUGAUAACUACUUUGAUCUUGCUGAAAAUUCCAGAAACUUUCUGUUCACGAAAACAAUUGUUUAGAAUCACCAGAACGUUAUAAAAUACUGAUUACAAUUGCAGUAGAUCAAUAAACAAAUUAUCUUGGUCGUCCUAUUUUUGUAGAAUUUUUUGAGUUCCAGAAGUUUGCGUUAGUUAUAGAUUACUACAGACUGUUGUGUUUUUGACAGAUUCUGUUUCUCGUGUAUUGUUUGCUUAUUUUGAUGCAUCUAUGGCUAGUAAAAUAGUUUAUAAACCAUAGAGAAUUUAGAAUACAGUAGGUUUAACACCAAUAUAAAUAAAUAAUGAGUUCAUUACAGUACCUUGAAGUGGUGUUUUGUUUUCUUUCGCUAACGGAGCUUACGAGAAUUUCUGUUGAGUUUUGUGUUGUGAAGUUUUCAAGUUUUGGGUAAAGAUUUGAUGGAUCACGGAACAAGGAGUGGCAAGAGCCUAAGAUUGGGGAUGCCCAUGGCAGCCCAAGAUAUUCAAGGAUGACCAAAAUCCUAAGCUUGGGGAUGCCCCGGAAGGCAUCCCCUCUUUUGUCUUCGUCUAUCGGUAACUUUACUUGGAGCUAUAUUUUUAUUCACCACAUGAUAUGUGUUUUGCUUGGAGCGUCUUGUAUGAUAUUAGUCUUAGAUUUUUUGUUUACCACAAUCAUCCUUGCUGGACACACCUUUUGGGAGAAACCCACAUGAUUAGAAUUUAUUAGAAUACACUAUAUGCUUCACUUAUAUCUUUUGAGCUAGAUAGUUUUGCUCUAGUACUUCACUUAUAUCUUUUAGAGCACGGCGGUGGCUUAAUUUUGUAGAAAUUAUUAAUCUCUCAUGCUUCGCUUAUAUUAUUUUGAGAGUCUCUUAGAACAGCAUGGUAUUUACUAUGGUUAUAAAAUUGGUCCUAGAAUGAUGGGCAUCCAAGUUGGGUAUAAUAAAAACUAUCAUAGGAAGUGAAUUGGAGGCUAUGAUCAAUUUGAUACUUGACAAUUGUUUUGAGAUAUGGACGUAGUAAUUGUUGGAAAUAUGCCCUAGAGGCAAUAAUAAAUGGUUAUUAUUAUAUUUCUUUGUUCAUGAUAAUUGUCUAUUGUUCAUGCUAUAAUUGUAUUAACCGGAAAUCGUAAUACAUGUGUGAAUACAUAGACCACUACGUGUCCCUAGUAAGCCUCUAGUUGACUAGCUCGUUGAUCAACAGAUAGUCAUGGUUUCCUGACUAUGGACAUUGGAUGUCAUUGAUAACGGGAUCACAUCAUAGGAGAAUGAUGUGAUGGACAAGACCCAAACCUAAGCAUAGCGCAAAGAUCGUGUAGUUUGUUUGCUAGAGCUUUUCCAAUGUCAAGUAUCAUUUCCUUAGACCAUGAGAUCGUGCAACUCCCGGAUGCCGUAGGAGUGCUUUGGGUGUGCCAAACGUCACAACGUAACUGGGUGACUAUAAAGGUACACUACGGGUAUCUCUGAAAGUGUCUGUUGGGUUGGCACGGAUCGAGACUGGGAUUUGUCACUUUGUGUGACGGAGAGGUAUCUCUGGGCCCACUCGGUAAUGCAUCAUCAUAAUGAGCUCAAUGUGAAUAAGGAGUUAGCCACGGGAUCAUGCAUUACGGUACGAGUAAAGAGACUUGCCGGUAACGAGAUUGAACAAGGUAUUGGGAUACCGACGAUCGAAUCUCGGGCAAGUAACAUACCGAUUGACAAAGGGAAUUGUAUACGGGAUUGAUUGAAUCCUCGACAUUGUGGUUCAUCCGAUGAGAUCAUCGUGGAACAUGUGGGAGCCAACAUGGGUAUCCAGAUCCCGUUGUUGGUUAUUGACCGGAGAGGUGUCUCGGUUAUGUCUGCACGUCUCCCGAACCCGUAGGGUCUACACACUUAAGGUUCGGUGACGCUAGGGUUGUAGAGUUAUGAGUAUGCGGAAACCCGAAAGUUGUUCGGAGUCCCGGAUGAGAUCCCGGACGUCACGAGGAGUUCCGGAAUGGUCCGGAGGUGAAGAAUUAUAUAUAGGAAGUCCAGUUUUGGCCACCGGGAAAGUUUCGGGGGUUAUCGGUAUUGUACCGGGACCACCGGAAGGGUCCCGGGGGUCCACCGGGUGGGGCCACCUAUCCCGGAGGGCCCCAUGGGCUGAAGUGGGAAGGGAACCAGCCCUUAGUGGGCUGGGGCGCCCCCCCCCCUUGGGCCUCCCCUGCGCCUAGGGUUGGAAACCCUAGGGGUGGGGGGCGCCACACUUGGCUUGGGGGGGAAGCCACCCCCCUUCCCCCUUGGCCACCGCGCCCCCAUAAAUGGGUUCCAGGGCCGGCGCCCCCCCCCCUUCCAGGGGGCCUAUAUAUUGUGGGGGGAGGGAGGGCAGCAAUAACACAGCCCCUGGCGCCUCCCUCUCCCCCUGCAACACCUCUCCCUCUCGCAGAAGCUCGGCGAAGCCCUACCGAGAUCCCCGCUACAUCCACCACCAUGCCGUCGUGCUGCUGGAUCUCGAUCAACCUCUCCUUCCCCCUUGCUGGAUCAAGAAGGAGGAGACAUCGCUGCUCUGUAUGUGUGUUGAACGCGGAGGUGCCGUCCGUUCGGCACUCGGUCAUCGGUGAUUUGGAUCACGGCGAGUACGACUCCAUCAACCCCGUUCAUUAGAACGCUUCCGCUCGCGAUCUACAAGGGUAUGUAGAUGCACUCCUUUCCCCUCGUUGCUAGUAUACUCCAUAGAUGGAUCUUGGUGAUGCGUAGGAAAUUUUAAAAUUCUGCUACGAUCCCCAAUAGUGGCAUGAUGAGCCAGGCCUAUGCGUAGUUACUAUGCACGAGUAGAACACAAAGCAGUUGUGGGCGUAGAUGUUGUCAAUUCUUCUUGCCACUACUAGUCUUAUCUUGUUUCGGCGAUAUUGUGGGAUGAAGCGGCCCGGACCGACCUUACACGUACGCUUACGUGAGACAGGUUCCACCGACUGUCAUGCACUAGUUGCAUAAGGUGGCUAGCGGGUGUCUGUCUCUCCCACUUUAGUCGGAACGGAUUCGAUGAAAAGGGUCCUUAUGAAGGGUAAAUAGAAAUUGGCAUAUCACAUUGUGGUUUUACGUAGGUAAGAAACUUUCUUGCUAGAAACCUAUAGAAGCCACGUAAAAACUUGCAACAACAAUUAGAGGACGUCUAACUUGUUUUUGCAGCAUGUGCCUUGUGAUGUGAUAUGACCAGAAGAUGUGAUGAAUGAUAUAUGUGAUGUAUGAGAUUGAUCAUAUUCUUGUAAUAGGAAUCACGACUUGCAUAUCGAUGAGUAUGACAACCGGCAGGAGCCAUAGGAGUUGUCUUUAUUAUUUCGCAUGACCUGCGUGUCAUUGAAUAACGCCAUGUAAAUUACUUUACUUUAUUGCUAAACGCGUUAGCCAUAGAAGUAGAAGUAAUCGUUGGCGUGACAACUUCAUGAAGACACAAUGAUGGAGAUCAUGAUGAUGGAGAUCAUGGUGUCAUGCCGGUGACAAGGAUGAUCAUGGCGCACCGAAGAUGGAGAUCAAAGGAGCAAAAUGAUAUUGGCCAUAUCAUGUCACUAUUUGAUUGCAUGUGAUGCUUAUCAUGUUUUGCAUCUUAUUUGCUUAGAACGAUGGUAGUAAGUAAGAUGAUCCCUUAUAAUAAUUUCAAGAAAGUGUUCCCCCUAACGUGCACCGUUGCGAAGGUUCGUUGUUUUGAAGCACCACGUGAUGAUUGGCUGUGAUAGAUUCUAACGUUCGCAUACAACGGGUGUUGACGAGCCUAGCAUGUACAGACAUGGCCUCGGAACACACGCAAUACACUUAGGUUGACUUGACGAGCCUAGCAUGUACAGACAUGGCCUCGGAACACGGAAGACCGAAAGGUCGAGCAUGAGUCGUAUAGAAGAUACGAUCAACAUGGAGAUGUUCACCGAUCUUGACUAGUCCGUCUCACGAGAUGAUCGGACACGGCCUAGUUAACUCGGAUCAUGUUUCACUUAGAUGACUAGAGGGAUGUCUAUCUGAGUGGGAGUUCAUUGAAUAAUUUGAUUAGAUGAACUUAAUUAUCAUGAACUUAGUCUAAAAUCUUUACAAUAUGUCUUGUAGAUCAAAUGGCCCACGUUGUCCUCAACUUCAACGCGUUCCUAGAGAAAACCAAGCUGAAAGAUGAUGGCAGCAACUAUACGGACUGGGUCCGGAACCUGAGGAUCAUCCUCAUAGCUGCCAUGAAAGAUUAUGUCCUAGAAGCACCGCUAGGUGAAGCACCCAUCCCAGAGAACCAAGACGUUAUGAACGCUUGGCAAUCACGUGCUAAUGAUUACUCCCUCGUUCAGUGCGGCAUGCUUUAUAGCUUAGAACCGGGUCUCCAAAAGCGUUUUGAGAAACAUAGAGCAUAUGAGAUGUUCGAAGAGCUGAAAAUGGUUUUCCAAGCUCAUGCCCGGGUCGAGAGAUAUGAAGUCUCCGACAAGUUCUUCAGCUGUAAAAUGGAGGAAAAUAGUUCUGUCAGUGAGCACAUACUUAGAAUGUCUGGGUUACACAACCGCUUGUCUCAGCUGGGAGUUAAUCUCCCGGAUGACGCGAUCAUUGACAGAAUCCUUCAGUCGCUUCCACCAAGCUACACGAGCUUUGUGAUGAACUUCAAUAUGCAAGGGAUGGAAAAGACCAUUCCUGAGGUAUAUUCAAUGCUGAAAUCAGUGGAGGUGGAGAUCAGAAAGGAACAUCAAGUGUUGAUGGUAAAUAAAACCACUAAGUUCAAGAAGGGCAAGGGUAAGAAGAACUUCAAGAAGGACGGCAAGGGAGUUGCCGCGCCCGGUAAGCCAGUUGCCGGGAAGAAGUCAAAGAAUGGACCCAAGCCUGAGUGCUUUUAUUGCAAGGGAAGUGGUCACUGGAAGCGGAACUGCCCCAAAUACUUAGCGGACAAGAAGGCCGGCAACAUCAAAGGUAUAUGUGAUAUACAUGUAAUUGAUGUGUACCUUACCAGUACUCAUAGUAGCUCCUGGGUAUUUGAUACCAGUGCGGUUGCUCAUAUUUGUAACUCAAAACAGGAGCUGCGGAAUAAGCGGAGACUGGCGAAGGACGAGGUGACGAUGCGCGUCGGGAAUGGUUCCAAGGUCGAUGUGAUCGCCGUCGGCACGCUGCCUCCGCAUUUACCUACGGGAUUAGUUUUAAACCUCAAUAAUUGUUAUUUAGUGCCAGCUUUGAGCAUGAACAUUGUAUCUGGAUGUCGUUUAAUUCGAGAUGGCUACUCAUUUAAAUCCGAGAAUAAUGGUUGUUCUAUUUAUAUGAGAGAUAUGUUUUAUGGUCAUGCCCCGCUGGUCAAUGGUUUAUUCUUGAUGAAUCUCGAACGUGAUGUUACACAUAUUCAUAGUGUGAAUACCAAAAGAUAUAAAGUUGAUAACGAUAGUCCCACGUACUUGUGGCACUGCAGAUGGACUUUUGGAGACUCUUGAUUACGAAUCAUUUGACACAUGCGAACCAUGCCUCAUGGGUAAGAUGACCAAGACUCCGUUCUCCGGAACAAUGGAGCGAGCAACCAAUUUAUUGGAAAUCAUACAUACCGAUGUGUGCGGUCCAAUGAGUGUUGAGGCUCGCGGAGGAUAUCGUUAUGUUCUCACUCUCACUGAUGACUUAAGUAGAUAUGGGUAUGUCUACCUAAUGAAACACAAGUCUGAAACCUUUGAAAAGUUCAAGGAAUUUCAGAGUGAGGUUGAGAAUCAACGUGACAGAAAAAUAAAGUUCUUACGAUCAGAUCGUGGUGGAGAAUAUUGAAGUCAUGAAUUUGGUACGCACUUAAAGAAAUGUGGAAUCGUUUCACAACUCACGCCGCCUGGAACACCUCAGCGAAAUGGUGUGUCCGAACGUCGUAAUCGCACUCUAUUGGAUAUGGUGCGAUCUAUGAUGUCUCUUACCGAUCUACCGCUCUCAUUUUGGGGCUAUGCUUUAGAGACUGCCGCAUUCGCUUUAAAUAGGGCUCCGUCGAAAUCCGUUGAGACGACACCGUAUGAAUCAUGGUUUGGGAAGAAACCUAAGCUGUCGUUUCUAAAAGUUUGGGGAUGCGAUGCUUAUGUCAAGAAACUUCAACCUAAAAAGCUCGAACCCAAGUCGGAGAAAUGCGUAUUCAUAGGAUACCCUAAGGAAACUAUUGGGUAUACCUUCUACCUCAGAUCCGAAGGCAAGAUCUUCGUUGCCAAGAACGGGUCCUUUCUGGAGAAAGAGUUUCUCUCGAAAGAAUUAAGUGGGAGGAAAGUGGAACUUGAUGAGGUGAUAGUCACCCCUUCCGAACCGGAAAGUAGCGCAGCGCGGGAAGAUGUUCCUGUGGUGCCUUCACCGACUGGGGAGGAAGUUAAUGAUGAUGAUCAUGAAGCUUCGGAUCAAGUUACUGCUGAACUUCGAAAGUCCACAAGGACACGUUCCGCACCAGAGUGGUACGGCAACCCUGUCCUGGAAAUCAUGUUGUUAGACAACGGUGAACCUUCGAACUAUGAAGAAGCGAUGGCGGGCCCGGAUUCCGACAAAUGGCUAGAAGCCAUGAAAUCCGAGAUAGGAUCCAUGUAUGAAAACAAAGUAUGGACUUUGAUUGACUUGCCCGAUGAUCGGCGAGCCAUAGAAAAUAAAUGGAUCUUUAAGAAGAAGACAGACGCGGAUGGUAAUGUGACCAUCUAUAAUGCUCGACUUAUUGCUAAGGGUUAUCGACAAGUUCAAGGGGUUGACUACGAUGAGACUUUCUCACCCGUAGCAAAGCUGAAGUCCGUCUGAAUCAUGUUAGCAAUUGCCGCAUUCUAUGAUUAUGAGAUAUGGCAAAUGGACGUCAAAACGGCAUUCCUUAAGGAAGAAUUGUAUAUGAUGCAGCCGGAAGGUUUUGUCGAUCCUAAGAAUGCUAACAAAGUAUGCAAGCUCCAGUGCUCAAUCUAUGGGCUGGUGCAAGCAUCUCGGAGUUGGAACAUUCACUUUGAUGAGAUGAUCAAAGCGUUUGGGUUUACACAGACUUAUGGAGAAGCCUGUGUUUACAAGAAAGUGAGUGGGAGCUCUGUAGCAUUUCUCAUAUUAUAUGUGGAUGACAUACUAUUGAUGGGAAAUGAUAUAGAAUUCUUGGAAAGUGUAAAGGCCUAUUUGAAUAAGUGUUUUUCAAUGAAGGACCUUGGAGAAGCUGCUUAUAUAUUAGGCAUCAAGAUCUAUAGAGAUAGAUCAAGACGCCUCAUUGGUCUUUCACAGAGUACGUACCUUGACAAGAUAUUGAAGAAGUUCAAUAUGGAUUAGUCCAAGAAGGGGUUCUUGCCUGUAUUGCAUGGUGUGCAAUUGAGCACGGCUCAAUGCCCGACCACGGCAGAAGAUAGAGAAAAGAUGAGUGUCAUCCCCUAUGCCUCGGCCAUAGGGUCUAUUAUGUAUGCCAUGCUGUGUACCAGACCUGAUGUAAACCUUGCCGUAAGUUUGGUAGGAAGGUACCAAAGUAAUCCCGGCAUGGAACACUGGACAGCGGUCAAGAAUAUCCUGAAGUACCUGAAAAGGACUAAGGAUAUGUUUCUCGUAUAUGGAGGUGACGAAGAGCUCAUCGUAAAGGGUUACGUCGACGCUAGCUUCGACACAAAUCUGGAUGACUCGAAGUCACAAACCGGAUACGUGUAUAUUUUGAAUGGAGGGGUAGUAAACUGGUGCAGUUGCAAGCAAAGCGUCGUGGCGGGAUCUACAUGUGAAGCGGAGUACAUGGCGGCCUCAGAGGAAGCACAGGAAGCAGUCUGGAUAAAGGAGUUCAUUACCGACCUAGGGGUGAUUCCCAAUGCGUCGGGCCCAAUGACUCUCUUCUGUGACAACACUGGAGCUAUUGCCCUUGCCAAGGAGCCCAGGUUUCAUAGGAAGACUAGGCAUAUCAAGCGUCACUUCAACUCCAUUCGUGAAUGUGGUCAGAAUGGAGACAUAGAUAUUUGUAAAGUACAUACGGACCUGAAUAUAGCAGAUUCGUUGACUAAACCUCUCCCUAGAGAAAAACAUGAUCAACACCAGAACGCUAUGGGUGUUCGAUUCAUCACAAUGUAACUAGAUUAUUGACUCUAGUGCAAGUGCGAGACUGUUGGAAAUAUGCCCUAGAGGCAAUAAUAAAUGGUUAUUAUUAUAUUUCUUUUUUCAUGAUAAUUGUCUAUUGUUCAUGCUAUAAUUGUAUUAUCCGGAAAUCGUAAUACAUGUGUGAAUACAUAGACCACUACGUGUCCCUAGUAAGCCUCUAGUUGACUAGCUCGUUGAUCAACGGAUAGUCAUGGUUUCCUGACUAUGGACAUUGGAUGUCAUUGAUAACGGGAUCACAUCAUUAGGAGAAUGAUGUGAUGGACAAGACCCAAACCUAAGCAUAGCGCAAAGAUCGUGUAGUUCGUUUGCUAGAGCUUUUCCAAUGUCAAGUAUCAUUUCCUUAGACCAUGAGAUCGUGCAACUCCCGGAUGCCGUAGGAGUGCUUUGGGUGUGCCAAACGUCACAACUUAACUGGGUGACUAUAAAGGUACACUACGGGUAUCUCUGAAAGUGUCUGUUGGGUUGGCACGGAUCGAGACUGGGAUUUGUCACUCCGUGUGACGGAGAGGUAUCUCUGGGCCCACUCGGUAAUGCAUCAUCAUAAUGAGCUCAAUGUGAAUAAGGAGUUAGCCACGGGAUCAUGCAUUACGGUACGAGUAAAGAGACUUGCCGGUAACGAGAUUGAACAAGGUAUUGGGAUACCGAUGAUUGAAUCUCGGGCAAGUAACAUACCGAUUGACAAAGGGAAUUGUAUACGGGAUUGAUUGAAUCCUCGACAUCGUGGUUCAUCCGAUGAGAUCAUCGUGGAACAUGUGGGAGCCAACAUGGGUAUCCAGAUCCCGCUGUUGGUUAUUGACCGGAGAGGUGUCUCGGUCAUGUCUGCAUGUCUACCGAACCCGUAGGGUCUACACACUUAAGGUUCGGUGAUGCUAGGGUUGUAGAGAUAUGAGUAUGCGAAAACCCGAAAGUUGUUCGGAGUCCCGGAUGAGAUCCCGGACAUCACGGGGAGUUCCGGAAUGGUCCGGAGGUGAAGAAUUAUAUACAGGAAGUCCAGUUUUGGCCACCGGGAAAGUUUCGGGGGUUAUCGGUAUUGUACCGGGACCACCGGAAGGGUCCCGGGGGUCCACCGGGUGGGGCCACCUAUCCCGGAGGGCCCCAUGGGCUGAUGUGGGAAGGGAACCAGCCCUUAGUGGGCUGGGGCGCCCCCCCUUGGGCCUCCCCCUGCGCCUAGGGUUGGAAACCCUAGGGGUGGGGGGCGCCCCACUUGGCUUGGGGGGGAAGCCACCCCCCUCCCCCCUUGGCCGCCGCCCCCCCCCCAUAAAUGAGUUCCAGGGCCGGUGCGCCCCCUUCCAGGGGGCCUAUAUAUAGUGGGGGGAGGGAGGGCAGCAAUAACAGAGCCCCUGGCGCCUCCCUCUCCCCUGCAACACCUCUCCCUCUCGCAGAAGCUUGGCGAAGCCCUGCCGAGAUACCCGCUACAUCCACCACCUUGCUGGAUCAAGAAGGAGGAGACGUCGCUGCUCCGUACGUGUGUUGAACGCGGAGGUGCCAUCCGUUCGGCACUCGGUCAUCGGUGAUUUGGAUCACGGCGAGUACGACUCCAUCAACCCCGUUCAUUAGAACGCUUCCGCUCGCGAUCUACAAGGGUAUGUAUAUGCACUCAUUUCCCCUCGUUGCUAGUAUACUCCAUAGAUGGAUCUUGGUGAUGCGUAGGAAAUUUUAAAAUUCUGUUACGAUCCCCAACAGUAAUAUUAGAGUAAUGCUAGUUGGGUAAUUAUGAAUUUAAAGAAUGCUUGUGUUGAAGUUGGCAAUUCCUGUAGCAUGCACGUAUGGUAAAAGUUGUGUAACAAAUUUGAAACAUGAGGUGUUCUUAGAUUGUGCAUCCUUAUGAGUGGCAGUCGGGGACGAGAUGGUCUUUUCCUACCAAUCUAUCCCCCUAGGAGCAUGCGCGUAGUGCUUGGUUUUUGAUGACUUGUAGAUUUUUGCAAUAACUAUAUGAGUUCUUUUGACUAAUGUUGAGUCCAUGGAUUAUACGCACUCCCACCUUUCCAUCAUUGCUAGCCUCUUCGGUACCGUGCAUUGCCCUUUCUCACCUUGAGAGUUGGUGCAAACUUCGCCGGUGCAUCCAAACCCCGUGAUACGAUACGCUCUAUCACACAUAAACCUCCUUAUAUCUUCCUCAAAACAGCCACCAUACCUACCUAUUAUGGCAUUUCCAUAGCCAUUCCAAGAUAUAUUGCAAUGCAACUUUCCACCGUUCCGUUCAUCAUCAUGACACGCAUCAUUAUUGUCAUAUUGCCUUGCAUGAUCAUGUAGUUGACAUCGUAUUUGUGGCAAAGCCACCAUGCAUAAUUUUUUCAUACAUGUCACUCUUGAUUCAUUGCCCAUCUCGGUACACCGCCGGAGGCAUUCAUAUAGAGUCAUAUCUUGUUCUAGUUUUUGAGUUGUAAUUCAUGAGUUGUAAAUAAAUAGAAGUGUGAUGAUCAUCAUUAGAGCAUUGUCCCCAAAAAAAAAAGAAGAGAUAGGCCAAAAAAAGAAAGGCCCGAAAAAUAUAUAAAAAGGGGGCAAUGGUACUAUCCUUUUCCAUACUUGUGCUUCAAAGUAGCACCAUGUUCUUCAUAUAGAGAGUCUCAUAUGUUAUCACUUUCAUAUACUAGUGGGAAUUUUUAAUUAUAGAACUUGGCUUGUACAUUCCUACGAUGGGCUUCCUCGAAAUGCCCUAGGUCUUCGUGAGCAAGCAAGUUGGAUGCACACCCACUUAGUUUCUUUUGUUGAGCUUUCAUAUAUUUAUAGCUCUAGUGCAUCCGUUGCAUGGCAAUCCCUACUCCUCAUGUUGACAUCAAUUGAUGGGCAUCUCCAUAGCCCGUUGACUAUCCUCGUCAAUGUGAGACUUUCUCCUUUUUUGUCUUCCCCACACAAUCCCCAUCAUCACAUUCUAUUGCACCCAUAGUGCUAUGUCCAUGGCUCACGCUCAUGUAUUGCGUGAAAGUUGAAAAAGUUUGAGAUUAUUUAUGUAUGAAACAAUUGC